rnacentral:rRNA from 1 species
GCAUGGCGCGUGCUAUACAUGCAGUCGAGCGGACCGACGGGAGCUUGCUCCCUUAGGUCAGCGGCGGACGGGUGAGUAACACGUGGGUAACCUGCCUGUAAGACUGGGAUAACUCCGGGAAACCGGGGCUAAUACCGGAUGCUUGAUUGAACCGCAUGGUUCCAUUCUUAAAAGGGGGUUUUAACUUACCCUUUACAAAGGGCCCCCGGGGCAUUAACUUAUUGGGGAAGGUACGGGUUCACCAGGGCAACAAGGCUAACCCAACUGGAAAGGUGGAUCGGCACCCUGGGACUGGAAACCCGGCCAGAAUUCUAACGGAAGGCGCCAGAAGGAAUCCUCCGCCAUGGAACAAAGUCCGAACGAACCACCCCCCCUGAAUGGAGGAAGGUUUCCGAACGGAAAACUCCGGUGGUUAGGAAAAAAAAGUUCCGGUUGAAUUGGGGCGUACCUUGGAGGGUCCUAAACCGAAAACCCCGGUUAAUACCUGGCCAGCAGCCCCGGUAUUACGUGGGGGGAAGGGGUGUUCGGAAAUUAUGGGGCGUAAGCGCGCGCAGGCGGUUCCUUAGUCCUGAUGGUGAAAGCCCCCGGCUUCACCGGGGGAGGGUCAUGGAAACUGGGGGACCUUGAGUGCAGAAGAAGAGAGUGGAAUUCCACGUGGUAGCGGUGAAAUGCGUAGAGAUGUGAACUGACGCUGAAGCGCGAAAGCGUGGGGGAGGCGACCAGGAUUAGAUACCCUGGUAGUCACGCGUAAACGAUGAGUGCUAGUGUUAGAGGGUUUCCGCCCUUUAGUGCUGCAGCAAACGCAUUAAGCACUUCCGCCUGGGGAAGUACGGUCGGCAGGACUGAAACUCAAAGGAAUUGACGGGGGCCCGCACAAGCGGUGGAGCAUGGUGGUUUAAUUCGAAGCAACGCCGAAGAACCUUACCAGGUCUUGACAUCCUUCUGACAAC